UACGUAGGGUGCAAGCGUUAAUCGGAAUUACUGGGCGUAAAGCGUGCGCAGGCGGUUGUGCAAGACCGAUGUGAAAUCCCCGGGCUUAACCUGGGAAUGGCAUUUGGGACUGCAAGGCUCGAGUGCGGCAGAGGAGACUGGAAUUCCUGGUGUAGCAGUGAAAUGCGUAGAUAUCAGGAGGAACACCGAUGGCGAAGGCAGGUCUCUGGGCUGACACUGACGCUCAUGCACGAAAGCGUGGGGAGCAAACAGG
rnacentral:rRNA from 1 species